UACGGAGGGUGCAAGCGUUAUCCGGAUUUAUUGGGUUUAAAGGGUGCGUAGGCGGAUUUAUAAGUCAGUGGUGAAAGUCUGCGGCUCAACCGUAGAAUUGCCAUUGAUACUGUAGGUCUUGAGUACAGUUGAGGUAGGCGGAAUGUGUAAUGUAGCGGUGAAAUGCAUAGAUAUUACACAGAACACCGAUUGCGAAGGCAGCUUACUGGACUGUUACUGACGCUGAUGCACGAAAGCGUGGGGAGCGAACAGG
rnacentral:rRNA from 1 species